rnacentral:rRNA from 1 species
UACGACUACAUAUCAGGCAUAUCAAUAAGCGGAGGAAAAGAAACUAACAAGGAUUCCCUUAGUAACGGCGAGUGAAGCGGGAAGAGCUCAAACUUGAAAUCUUCAAGGUUUUACCUUGACGAAUUGUAGUUUAAAGAAGUGUUUUCUGUUGGUGUUUUGGUAAAAGUUCUUUGGAGUAGGACAUCAUAGAGGGUGAGAAUCCCGUAUUUGACCAUUUCUUCCAGCUGUGUGAUACACUUUCAAAGAGUCGGAUUGUUUGGGAAUGCAGUCCAAAAUGGGUGGUAAAUUUCAUCUAAAGCUAAAUAUUGGCGAGAGACCGAUAGCGAACAAGUACCGUGAGGGAAAGAUGAAAAGAACUUUGAAAAGAGAGUUAAACAGUACGUGAAAUUGUCAAAAGGGAAGCGUUUGACACCAGUGUUGUUUUCUCGAAAAUCAAUUAAAAAGUAUGGGAUUUUGUAUUGUUAAGACCUUAUCAGCUUACGGUACUUUUUUCUUAUUCUUUUUAAUGCACUUUUCGUUUAACAAGUCAACAUCAAUUUCUUUUGUUGUAAAAGAGUCAUUGGAAGGUGGCAUUCACUUCGGUGAAAGUGUUUAUAGCCUUUGGCUUCUGCAAUCGGAGAGAUUGAGGUCUGCAGCGUAGAUCCUUCGGGGUUAGAUACGUAGAUGCUAAGUUAUAGUUUUUCAUAGACAACUUGUUGACUAUGAUUAAUCAUGUAGCUUACUCGUUUGCGCUAUUUUACCUACGCUUAGGAUGUUGAAUCUGUGCGAGACUAC